GGAUUGUGGUUCAGUGGUAGAGUGCUUGCCUAGAACAUAUGAGGUACUGGGUUUGAUUCUCAGCACCA
rnacentral:tRNA from 1 species